rnacentral:lncRNA from 1 species
CUAAGAGCAUCUCCAAGAGCUCUCCAUAAAACGACUCCUCAAAAUCAGUUUUAAGGGACAUCUAAAUAAUAAGUGGGGGUAAAUUUUAAUCCUUUCUCCAACAGAUCCCUUAAAUCAGCAGUUUGUUUCUGGGGAGCCCAAAAAAACCCUCAUUUGUAGCUACAAAUGAGGGAGUUUUAAGGGCUAUGAAAAAGUUGGGGGCGCUUUAGGGGAACUGUUGGAGACAUGUUUUUGUGUUUUUCCCAAAAAAAUAGAUUUAGGGGAGACUUCUGGGGAGCUUUUGGAGAUGCUCUAAGGUUAGUUCCUAAAUUUAAACGACUAACCUUAGACAAAGUGUGGCGACAAAGUGUGGCACAGUUAACCCCGGACCAAACAGUCCCUUAGUCACACAACUCUAAUAUAUACCUUUGGAGUGAUUAACUAUGAUUAACCCUAUGAGAUCUUUUAAACCAAUGCGUAUAUAUAUCUUCGGAGUGGCUAGCUAUGAUUAACUACCCAUGAGCCCUUUGCAUUGAUCGUAUUUUCUACUACGUACUAUUAUAUCAGCCAGAGGCACAAUGUCAUUGUUGUGUUCAAACUUCAAACAAGCAAAGCAAAAACAGUAAAAUGUGACUGUUAAUUUAUUCAAACAGGGUGACACAUAUAGGAGUGUAAUGUGACUGUUUAUACAAACAAACAUUAUCUUACGUACUGGGGGAAAAAACCAUGACAUGGUUAUGGGAGGACAGUACUGUUUAAUCAGCAACCAAACAAAUCCUAAAUUCAACCAAGUUCUCUCUACCUGCCAACAUCAAUCUAAAUUCUACAGUGAUCCACUGGUUUGUUCUUCAAAGUGCAUUAGUACCAACUAUCAAUCGGUAGCUAGCCUCGAUUGGCCAAAUUAUAAUCCUACCAAUUCACUACCGCGUAUUGCAGCAAUUUGAUAGUAAUUGCCUUCGUAGGUGUAGUAUAUUGAAGAAUCGAUGAUUGUGCAUCGUCGAAGCCACCAUCAUUGCUUGUCAUGCCCAUCAGGGGGCAGGAUCUUGGAGUCGGCGGUCGCCGGCCAUCGCUGCCAUACAGCCGCCAAACGCCACUGGUCUCCUUCAGCUGUGCCCUGGCCCUAUGUGCGGCCCACGGCCACCGCGUGCAAAGAGUCCUCUCCCUUGGCACUGCCAGCCGCCUGUGGCCCGGGGGAGAUCGACCCUCGCCGCCAGUGUGGGGCGGACCAUGGCCACCGGCGCCAUGCGCCAUGGGAGUGCCCGGAACUUGGAAAUGGGAGAAAAGAAACGCUUCGAAAUCGAUCGAUUCGGAAGCCACGUCGUCGGAUGUCAUCGUUUGGUUUCGACUCUAUAUUGAAUGGGAGUCCAGCAGGAUGGAGAGGACUCGGACAGAUCCGUUUGGUGGGGGUCGAAGAAAUAAAGAAUGGGUCGUUUACCCUUUGUAACUAGCGGCAUAGGUGAGGUGAGUAAUUUCCAUUCAACUUCACGAGGGUUUGUGAAGCUCCUCUUCUGUUGCAUCAACAAAACCGUGAAGUUCUCUCCAACUUCAAGGUUUUUUUUGUGAAACUGAGCUAAUUAAGUUGUGCAUGUUUUGCUUAAAGCUAAUCUCUCCCAAACCCUAGUAAACCCCUAGGUACAAGAACAGUUGAACCUACACAAUCAUAGUGUUCUCAAGUCGUUCACUGGUUUCUCCUCGUCUAAUAUUAAAGAACAACAAAACAAAAUAUUUAUAAACAAUUACUAAUAUUAAAAUGACUGUAUGUGUAGAAAUAAUGUACAGUUGUAUCUAGAUGUCUCGAUUGAAUACCACAAUCAUAAUUAGAUAAUGGUAGCUCAGGAGGGGCACGUGCAUCCUUACAAAAACACAUACAAAUAUAAAUCUCUAGGAUGACAUAUUUUCACAUCACAAAACUCACAACAUUUUUUUACAGCACACAACUCAACAAUUUUUAAGCCAGCAGUGAAACAAAAAGACCCCGAGACCAAAAAGGCAUUUCAAACAGCAUCGCUGGUUCACCAUUUAGUCCAAGAUGUCUAUAACUAUCAUUCGGCAAUCAACGCUGUUUACAACAAAAUUUGGUUCCAGCUGGUCAUUAUCCUCCAACUCCAAGGGGGGAAACAAACCCACCCUGGCUUCAAGAGUUCAGAUAAUUAGAGAAAACGAUUUCUCACAGUGGCAAACAAGUAAAAUGGUGCAAUGGUUUGCUAACAUGUUCCAGGGCUAAAGCGCAACCAUACUGAACCCAGCACAGGUGCUUCUAGGAUCAGGGGAUUCCACACCUUGAGAAUAAGCUUCUAUGCCCUGGUGCAUACAUACGCCGCCAGUUCGGGACAAUGAUUUAUGUACAUUACAUCUAAUAAAAGAAAGGCUCAGAUCAUGGGGCUCCAGCGCUUUUCACAUAUGAGACCACGACUGUUAUGUCAUCAAGCUUCCCACCAUAAUACCGGUACCCAGCUUCUUGAGCAGCUGAUGCAAAAGGUGACUGCCUAUUUUUGUCCGUAGCUCUUUGUCGAGCCAGGGCGGCAAUUUUUUGUGCUGCAAUCUGAGGCUCAAGUCCAACCCGGAGAGCUUCAACAAUAACACCACUUAUCUCAUUGUUGUAUAAAUUGUCAAAUAGUCCAUCCGUGCCAGCAACGAUAACAUCACCCGGGGCAACCGGAAAGUGAAAUACCUAAAAUAAAUCAAAUAUGAAGCACAAGUAUUAUAUAAUAGUAGUUUGAAGAUGCAGAGCUUGCACAAGGAAUUCAACAGGGGAAGAAGAAUAGGCAUCUGAAUUGAUCUGUGUUAUCAAAAUUAUAUACAGAAUAUUCAAAGGAAAAGGCUGUGAUUUACUCACUUGUGCGGAACUAGGAAGAUCACUGCCACCUCCACUCUCAAGCUGAUAAGUAAAAUUGAAAUCAUGCUGCUGUGAGGGUGACCUGAGAACAGUGCGGCCAUCUCGGACUACUACGAAACCACUAUCCCCAAGAUUUACAGCAUGGAUACCCUGCAAGAUCAAACGUUGUGGUAUUAGUGGAAGUCACCAAUGAACUAGCAUAUCAAUUGCAAAAACACAAAAGGGACUAAAUACACAAACUUUUCCAAAGUAGGAAUCUAGAACUGGCAUCAUCAAAUAGAUGGGUAAAGAAUUUACUAUUCUCAAGAACUCAGUUUGCAAUUCAUAUACUCAAUAAAUGAUGUGAAGAAUCAUUUUCUGUGUAUUGUACCAACCAAUCUUAAAUCACGUCUUUAUGCUGUGUUUUACUGUUUACUAGGAUACAGCAAAUAAGCAGAUAAAACAGGAGGACGCUAAACAUCAAACAAGGAUGAGCCUUCACCUGAUCUUUAAGAGUGAUGAUACACGCGGUAGAUGACCCCCUUGCUUUCGUACUAAUAUAAGCCUUUUCCAAAACUCUGGUUGGAUCAAUGGUCCCUUCUGGCUCAUCUUUGAUAGCGCUCAUUGAAUUUCUCAUUAGCUCCUUAGCAUAUAGUCCAGCAUCGACACCGAGAUCUGCCCAACCACCAACACCAUCUGCUACGCCUAUCACAUGCUCAUCAAUGCUAAUGAAAUGUGCAUCCUCACCACCAGUUGCCUCCUUAGCAGGGUGAGGCAAGUAACAUGAACCAGAGAGCAACUUCAAUUUUUCAGAAACUGGGGACAUUCUGUAGAGAAAAUGAAACAAACAAAUACCAGUGGAUGCAAGCCAAUAUUAGUUGAUAAUACUCGACAUAACAGACAGAAUGGGCAUAAUUCAUCAUAAAUUAGCCUAGAAAAAAAUCUACAUAAAUAUGCAAAGCAGACUGUAAUAAACCAUACUUGCAUUCCAAGCAAAUAAACUUAUGUAAUGAAUGCAGAACCAGUGUAAUUUUGUCCUAUGUUUAAUUUUGUGAAAAUUGUGGCAAUGUGUCAUAGUCCACUUCAUAGCAUCUGAAGUACCAAAAAAAACUUGCAUUCUAGUUUUGUCUUAAGUCAAAUUAUCUUAAUUUCGGCCAAGUUUAUACGAAAAAAAUACAAAUAUUUAUAUAGCCAAGCAAGUAUGAUUAUACUUAUUAUGGUCGAACAUUUUCAUAGUAUACCUAUUUGGUGCCAUAAGUGUUACUCCCUCCGGUCCAGAUUAUAAGGCAUUUCACUUACGUCAAGAGUCAAACUUCAUAAGCUUUGACCAAUAAUCUGGCUAACAAGUUUUAACUAUUGCAUACAAGCUUAAUAAUAUUUGAUUUGAAAUCAAAUGCAGUAUCCAAUAAUCAUAGGUUCAAAAUCAUAAACAAAUAUAAUGUAAAAUAAAUGAAUAGUCAAAGUGUAACUUGGGAGGCCGUAAACUGAACCGGAGGGGGUAACAACCUUUACUAUCAAUUUGGUCAAAGUCAAGAUAGUUUAAAAAAACUCGACCAGGGAGGAAAUUGUCGCCCUCCCGGUAUAAUAUUAAGAAGAGACCGAAACAUUGGUCCCGGCCGAGAAAAUCCCGGAACCCUGGCCUCCCAUCACUAACGGGCCGGCGUCAACCGUCCACUCUGCAACAAUCCAACCGAAGGGUGGCGCACAGAACAUCGUAACCCGAGAGCAGAUGAGGCACAGCGAGGGGAUUUUUUUAACCAAUCCCGAAAGUUCGCCACCGAGGAAUCGAACAUGAGACUUGGAGGUGCUACUCGGAAGCCUUAAUCACUAGGCUAGAGGCCCUUUCGCAAGUCAAGAUAGUUUGACCUAGGACAAAACUCAAACAUAAGGUUUUGGAACCCAAGAGGUUGAGAGCACUUGCAGAGUUGAACAGCAUCAAAUGAAAACUUAAGGAAACUGUGUGUAUCGGUUAUUCUGUUAUCACUGAGAAAAGCAAUAGACCUACCUCGGCUCAAACCCAGUAAGUCAAAAGUCAUGUCAGUACCUCCGCAAGGCCUUGUUUGCUUGCACUCGUAUCAAACUCAAUCCAUGUAUGUUGAUGCGGACUAGGUGAAAAUUAAACUAAUUUCCAUUGUUAUUAAAACGUCGCUUAAACGUCGUUUAAGCGUUAAAACGUGAUUAGCAGUUGGAACGUCCGGGCGUUUUAGGUAAGCCACGUAGAACGUCCAUUUCGAGCGUUUAAGCGUCACUUAAGCGUCCUAAUCGCGUUUUAGGACGUUUUAUGCGUCCUGGGGACGUUCUACCCAUUAUGGGCCUUUCCUGGGCCUUUAGGUUUUUCUGCGUAUGUGUUGGACGCACGCCACCCUCCUCUCUCCUCUCCUCCAACGGCUCAGCCGGCCGCCGCCCUCCUCUCUCGGUCUCUCCUCUCCUCCAACGGCUCAGCCGGCGCCACCGCCCUCCUCCCUCCUAUCCUCCAACAUCUCCGGCGCGUCUCUCCUCAGCCGCGGAGGCAAAGCCGGCCGCCGGCCGUGGAGGCACAGCCAGCGCGUCUCUCCUAUAUCCUCUCCUCAGCCGUGGAGGCACAACAGACCCCGGGCCGUGGAGGCACAGCAGACCUGCGCCACCGCUGGCCGCCUACCCCACAGCAGAUCUGCACCCAAGACCAGCAGCCAGCCAGCCAUCCUCUGCGGCUCCACUCUGCCAGCGCCCAAGACCAGCACUAGCAGCCAGCCAUCCUCCACCUCCACUGCUCUCCAUUUGAUCAUUUGGUGAGUACUGAUUUUGCUCACAGUGAAUCAAUCAAUCUCUAUUUGCUCAACCAUAUUGGUGAGUACUGAACUACUGAUUGUGCAACCAUAUUGCUCACAGUGAAUUUCAAUUUGGUUUGUGAACUCAAGUACUCAACUUAUGUAUGAACUUAUUUUAUAUUUGAACUUCUAUGUCAAGUCUGAAAAGACGUUUCAACGUUCGUUUAAACGUUUAAAUGUUAAAAAGUUGGUUCAUAACGUUUUAACGUUUUACCGCUUUAAUAACCAUGCUAAUUUCCACUCCAGCACAUAAGGAUUAAGAUAGAUACGUGUAGCCAAACAAGUCCAGUAUUCCCUCUCUUUUAAGACAUUUUUUAGAAAUUGCAAGCUGUAUUGCUUGGCAAGUUUCUGUUUGGGUAUAGGCAACUGUAACCAAUUAAUCAUGCAGAGCAAUUAACCAUGCAGAAGUAAACUAGAACCCAAUAUAAACAGAAAUUAGAGGCAAUAGUAAUAUGAUAUGUACCCAACAGUGGAGCUAUUCAUCUUCUCAUUGAGCGGCAAUUGAUCCUCUGUGGCUCCAGCAGAAUACGGCGCUGCACACGCCGUACUAAAGUCCUUAGUCCAUGGCUCAACUGUAAAGCUCAACUUCCAACCCGGCCCAGUGGCAUUUGUCCAGAACGCACUAUUCCCCCAUGGCUCACGGCAUUUCAAGCUUGCACCAAUCUUCUUACAAUGCUCCAGCCCCCUGUACCUGAAAGACACCUCUGGCCGCGCAGCACUGCCCAGUGACCCCAUGGCUGCAAUACGGGAGGCGCGUGUUCCGCCAGAUGGGUCCUUAUCCGGCUGCUGGCGCUUGGCAGCACCCAGCUCAGCUCGCCUAAGAACAUAGCCGCAGGCAGCCAUGACAAUGCUGCCUCUCUGCAGCAGGCCCUGCCCCGUGCAGUGCGACCGCACGCAGGGGACCCGGUUGAUGGCGGCGACGAAAGCGGAGGGAGCGCGACGGUCCGUGGUGUGCAGGAGGCGCGCCGGGUAAGUGGAGAGGAGAAACCACGUGUUGCCGAAGAGGAAGCUCCGGCCGCAGCGGCCGAGGAGGAGGUCCUUGUGGGAGGAGAGAUGGACGCUGCGGCCACCGCCGCCGUAGCCCGCCAGCAUCUCAGGACCGAGCGAGUCGCGCUCCCCAAGAUCUCAUCACCUGAACCUGCCACCAGGGGGGAAAUUCCAUGAGACAAGAUUGCAACUCAGCCAUUCCAAAAUCAAAUCAAGAGCUCCACGGGAAAAGAAAGCAAAAACGACGGGAAGACGGAACUUGCCGCCAGCACCAUCGAUUUGGCUACAGAAAUUGAAACGGUUUCUUGCAGGGACAGGCCUCAAUCUUCUUACCACGACAACAAUAGAAAGAUUUCAGGCGCGAGGGUGCUGAGAUCUCGAGCGCGACCAAUCCCCGCGUAGCCUCUAUUGAAUCCCCCCAAUCUAUUCGCGCGAUGGAGCUUGCGGCGUGUCCACGGUCACGGAUUAGGGUUGUUUGUUGGGGGGAGCGGCUAGCGACUAGCGAGCAGGCGAAGGAGGAUAGGACGACGAGGACAAUGUGAUUAUUAUUUGGGCACUAGAAAGUUCCCUCCUUAUGGUCUUACACUAGAUGAGUGACCGUGUACUGCAACGUGAACAUAUAAUGAUAUGAUAAUUUAUAUACAAAUGUGUGUUAUAUUAUUGUGAUAAAAUGUUUCGUAAUCUAUUUAUGAUCCUAGCCAUAUAUAAAUUUUGUUAUUUUAAUCUAACUAUUUCACCACUACAUUGCAAUCAUCAGUAUUACACAGACUUUUAUAUAUGAUUUUUAAUAAUGUCAUGUCAAUUGCAUCAUUUUAAUGCUAAAACUGUCACAAUAAAUUACAAACUUAUACAAAUCUUUAGAAAAUAUCUCAAGAUCUUAUAAUUCAAACGGGAGGCAGAACCAGGGGAGGAAGUUUGCCCCUUAGAUUCUUCAUAGUAGUAGAGAUAUAUGCAUGGGCACGUAACUAUAUCCAAAUAAUAGAUGAACUGGUAAAGGACUCAAUAACAUUGAUGUGGGGAUUUCUUAUCCUCUUCUUGUCAAGCUUGAUUGCGUAAGGUGGUGGCCUUUGGGCUCUAGUACAGAAACGUGCCAAUCUCCCCUUCGAUCUGCCCCUAAUGUUGACGGCAGGCAGCGGAGCCUGGCCACCUCUGCCUUAAGCGUUGUGUGGAUAUGGAGCUUCUUCAUGAGUUGUUGGUUGAGCGUCCUGAGAUGUACCACAUCCUCCUUCAGCGACACAGUGUCAGCCUUCUUCUCCUGAUACUUCCUAAUAGUGGUGCGGUUCCUCGAGGGACACUUCAUUAGAGGUUGCGUUGCUGCUGUUGCCUGGCGCUUGGCACCGACCCACCCAGCACCUGCUCCAUAUUGUUUUGAAUAUUUUGAUUAGUGUUUGGUUCGCUUUGAGCGAAAAAUGUUUGGCUCUAUCACAUUUUAAACUAUAAAAGGAGAUCAUUUUAAAAGCAUGACAACUGAGAACUUGUGAAACUAUUUGAACAUUCUAAACAGAUCUUGUGUAAUUGAACAUAUUGGAAGUCAUUUUUUUGGUUGAUGUCAAGUUUGAUUUGGGUGGAUUGGGCAUGGCAAAUCCACAAGCAACCUGCUGACCUUCCUAAGAGCAACUAAGUAAGCUUAGUGGGAAGGAAUAACAUACCAUUGUGAGUACUUUAUCAACUCUGGACAGAGAAGGAUAGAUAAAAUUGUAGCAGCAUUUUUACAUGCAAGCAAUAAGUUACCUAUAAGGCAAUUGUCAUCACCAAACCAUGCGUUAUUAUGAGGCAGAUUCACCAAUCUUCAGCAGAAACGUGAAACGAAUAAGGAAAUUUAGUUGCCUAGGAGCGAGACAAAAAAACUCCCUAGAGAAAGAGACGAGGACCUGAAAUCUGUUGCUUGAUGAUGUUUGUCGGGAACCAUAAUUAGGGGUACCCCCAAGACUCCUAAUCUCAGCUGGUAACCCCAUCAGCACAAAGCUGCAAAGGCCUGAUGGGCGCGAUUAAGGUCAAGGCUCAGUCCACUCAAGGGACAUGAUCUCGCCUCGCUCGAGCCCAGCCUCGGGCAAAGGCAGCCGACCCCGGAGGAUUCACGUCUCGCCCGAGGGCCCCCUCAAGCAACGGACACACCUUCGGCUCGCCCGAGGCCCAGUCUUCGCAGAGAAGCAACCUUGGCCAGGUCGCCACGCCAACCGACCAUAUCGCAGGAGCAUUUAAUGCAAGGAUCGUCUGACACCUUAUCCUGACGCGCGCUCUUCAGCCGACAGAGCCGAAGUGACCACAGUCACUUCGCCGCUCCACUGACCGACCUGACAAGAAAACAGCGUCGCCUGCGUCGCUCCGACUGUUGUGCCACUCGACAGAGUGAGGCUGACAGCAGCUAAGUCCAGCCUCGGGCGCCAUAGGAAGCUCCGCCUCGCCCGACCCUAGGGCUCGGGCUCAACCUCGACGCUGGACGACGGACUCCGCCUCGCCCGACCCCAGGGCUCGGACACAGCCUCGGCCUCGGAAGACGGUCUCCGCCUCGCCCGACCCAGGGCUCGGACUCAACCUCGACCUCGGAAGACGAACUCCGCCUCGCCCGACCCCAGGGCUCGGACUCAGCCUCGACCUCGGAGGAGCCUCCGCCUCGCCCGACCUCGGGCUCGGACCCGCCACGUCACAAGGAAGGCCAUCAUUACCCUACCCCUAGCUAGCUCAGGCUACGGGGAACAAGACCGACGUCCCAUCUGGCUCGCCCCGGUAAACAAAUAAUUAUGGCGCUCCGCGUGCUCCAUGACGAUGGCGGCUCUCAGCCCCUUACGGAAGCAAGCAGACGUCAGCAAGGAUUCGAUAGCCCCGACAGCUGUCUUUCCACAGGGCCCAAUCGCUCCUCCGACGGCCACGACAUCACAUGAACAGGGUGCCAAAACCUCUCUGACUGUCACGACAGCAUGUACUUAGGGCUCUAGCUCCUCUCUGCUAGACACGUUAGCACACUGCUACACCCCCCCAUUGUACACCUGGACCCUCUCCUUACGCCUAUAAAAGGAAGGUCCAGGGCUCUCGCACGAGAGGGUUGGCCGCGCGGGAGAACGGGUCGACGCAUAAGCCUCUCGCUCUCUCUCUCCCACGCGAACGCUUGUAACCCCCUACUGCAAGCGCACCCGACCUGGGCGCAGGGCAACACGAAGGCCGCGGGUUUCCCCUUUGCCUGUUUCUUCCCCCCCCCCCUUCGUGCUCCGUCUCGCGCCGACCCAUCUGGGCUGGGACACGCGGCGACAAUUUACUCGUCGGUCCAGGGACCCCCCCGGGGUCGAAACGCCGACAGUUGGCGCGCCAGGUAGGGGCCUGCUGCGUGUUGACGAACAGCUUCCCGUCAAGCUCCAGAUGGGUAGUCUCCAACAACCUUUCCAGCCCGGGACGAUGCUCCGUUUCGGGAGUCUUGAGUUCAUGUCCCUCGACGGCAGCUACGACAUGAUACUCCUUCCUCCACCGUGCGACAGCGACAAUGGCGGCCGUCAGCCCGCCCGCCGGCGGCGGAAUCAACAACGUCUUCCCCACGUGGCGGAAGAACAACAUCCGGGUUUGUCCCGUCACCUCCCCUACCGACGGAGGAGGAGGCGGGGCAACUGAAAGUAGCCUAGAGGGGGGGUGAAUAGGCUACACCUGAAAAUUUUCACUAAAAACUUUGAGAUAGGUUAAAUUAAAGUUGCACUGGUGCAAACCGGUUCAGUCGAUUUUAAUUACAACUGAACAAGUUUGAACCUGCUCAACUUAAAUUAGGUAAUCUGUUAAACAAAUACGAAGUAGUGAAGAAUAUAGCUAAAGACUUGCCCUACACAAAAUCUACUCGAAUGAAUAAUAUGAACCAACCAAUGAAUUUAAAGCGCUUGACAAGAACACACAAGAACACGCGAUAUAACCCGAGGUUCGGCAACCACCACAAAGGUGUCCUACUCCUCGUUGAGGAACCCACAAAGGGCCAGGUCUUUUCCAACCCUAAUCCUCCACAAGCCGACCACAAAGGUCAAGGCAAUCUCUUCUCAAAUCAGCUCAAAGAGCGGGUGAUACAAACUUCUUGGGGUCGUCCACAAAUUUGGAGACUCCCAAGCAACCUCUAACCGUCAAGGAACACGAGGUUCCAAGAGUAACAAAUCCGCACAAGGUUAAGUUUGCAACGAGCUCAAGAACAAAGAGAAAGGGAGAAUCGAGAUGAAAUUGACAGCGAGUUCGAUCGAGUUCACCUCACACCAAGGGUCCUUCAAAUGAUUGAAGGAGAUGCGAUUGCGGGUGUGAAAGGUGAAAUGAAUGCGCUUGUUUGAAGGUUGGUCAGCCAAGAAUUCGUGGGAGAGGCAGGAGUCAAUGAGAGAGAGAGUGUGAGGGGGUAUAUAAAGGAUCCCCCAAAAGUUGGCAGCCGUUGGGAGAAAAGAAGUAAAAACCGGUUGAACCGGUUUUCAGACCGGUUGAACCGGUUUUCAGACCGGUUGAACCGGUUUCUACCAGGGGGAUCCCGGUCCACUGAGCUACUCAGCCGGAGACUCAACCGGUUUCAAAACCGGCUGAGUAAGGAAAAAUUUCGGCUCAACCGGUUUUCAAAAAAUAUCUGCAGCGACUUUUCUGACAGCUCUGACUGUCAGACAAGUCAGAGCAGAGGUGGCAGGUGAACAGUACCAAAACCGGUUGAACCGGUUUUGGGGGCUGAAACCAAAUUUUGAGUAUUUUGAAGAGAACAAAAGUGGAGUCUUUGUGAGAAGUGAAAUUUGUUUUUCUCAAGGGGAUUCAUGAUCUGGAAAAAUGUUCUCCAAGAUGUUUUCAAAGGAUUUUGAACUUGGCUCAUUGCACAACUUACUUAACCGUCGCGGAUCCCUCUUAAUUGCACGGCGAUUCCUAUGACUCAAGAAUUAUAAAUUUAGCACCGCCGUUGUUUCUAAGCACUUGGAGCACGCCAUUUGAUGUGGAAUUUUAAAUCCGCUGUGCUUUAUACUUUUAUGCUCGUAAGAUCUGUGCUUCUCCUGUCUGUAGAAUUACUGUGUACAUGCUAGGAGCAAACUUGUUAGAAUCUCAGUUUGUUUUGUCAUUAAUCACCAAAACCCUUAAUUAGGGUUGAUUGCACUUACAAUCUCCCCCUUUUUGGUGAUUGAUGCCAAAACAAACUGAAGUAGAAAUAAAAAUUAAAAGUUACAAGUACUUGCUAGAUAAAAUCCUUUGUGUAUGUGUAGCUCCCCCUAAAUAUGUGCAUGAGUUUUGCGAUAUUAUCAUUGACUUGAUAUGUCAAUUUGCAACAUAUUUAGAGAGAGAGAACAAUUAACACCAUACACAAAACAAUGAGGAAUGAAACAUAAUUAGAUAGAAAGAGUAAAAAUUACACAUUAAAGCUCAUUAUCGCAUAGCAUAUGAUAUGAAAAAUUCUACUGCUAUUACAAUAAUGAGAACUCAUCUCAUCACAUCAUAAAAAUGUUUAUGGCUUUAGAGCCAUGCAUGCAUCAUACGAUAGACCAAAUAGUUAUUACAUACCGAUUGUUUAUUACAAAAAUAAAGGGUACUGCAUAAAGGGUACUGCCAUAAUAAACUUUCUCCCCCUUUUUGGCAACAAGAACCAAAAAGAGAGAGAGACGCCAGUCCAAGGAUCACUAGUUGGGAGGAGGAUGAUGAGGAGCAAAGAGGUGGUGCGCCAGGUGAGAGGCAAAGUGUUCCUCCCCAGACUGAUCUGGGGGAGGAGCACUGCCAGAAGGAUCCUGGGGCGGAGGGUGAGAGGACGAUUGGCCCGGAUCCCCGUGAUACGGAGGCGGGACAAACUGCUCACAAUCAUCAAAAUAAGCUUCUUCUUCUUCGUUGACGUCGUCUGCUGUCAUAAAAGGCACCCUGUAUGCCUGUUGGUACCACUCAUUGAUCUCCGGAGGAGGAGGAUGGAGAGGUACGUCAGGCCAGCGGGGGGCGAAGGGAGUACCCAAAGAGGAAGCUUGACGACGUAGGUUAUCGUCAGUCUCCCGCUGACGUCGAGCCACCUCAUGGACAUCCGCAGCAAUGUUCCGGCACAUGGAGAAAAAUGCCGCAAACCCGUGGGCCAAGCGGGCACCCAUCCCUCGGCCACGACCUCGACCACGACCACGACCACGUGGCGUGGGAGAUCCACGGCCAGGGGAGGGACACGAGGCACCGGUAGCAGCAGCAGCAGGACCAGCAGACGGACCCGCAGAUGUAUGAGCACGAGAGCUGGAGGGGGCUUUCCUGAGGCGCCCUGCUGGAUUGUUGGGAUCAAUCCAGAAAGGGGUAUAUGACUGAUGUCUUGUACCUUUGUCAAAUUUAAACUGGGUCACAACCUCAAUCAUCUUCAUGAUAAACGGAGCAUGAAGACACCCCUUCAAUGGAAAGCAGGCGGCAUGAAUGAUUUCCUGCCAAAUCAUAUCAAAGACAUUUAUACUCUCUGAGCUGCUGGGUUUCAUGAAAGAGAGCAAGACCUUGCUCUCUCCAAGAAUGUUCAUCUGAUUACCCCCUUUUGGAAUGAGGGUCAUCCUGCAGAGGGAGUUGAUGUAUCGAUAAUACUUAUGCAUGUUUGUAGACUCCCAAUACUUCCCAGACUCAGAAAGAUGAAGAUCUUUGGCUUCAUCUCUAGUAGGCUGCCAGAAAUCAUGUAUCUUGAUCUUGUCGCCAGAGAUAUCAUUGUCAGAAAAACCAAGAAUGUGAGCAAACCUACGGUAGCUCACCUUAUACCAACUACCUUCAAUGUAGAAGUUCAGAUAAGGAUAGUUGUAUGGACUCUCCUCGUCAGCUGGCUUGAUCCACAAAGUUGAGUAGAAUUGGGCAAUCACUUCAUCAUUCCAAUCAUAUUGGAAUGUCAUGAUACUCUUCAUCUUUUUCCUUUCACAGGCCCUCAAUGCCUGUGUCAUCUCUGGGUCCCCAAUGGCCUCACAACCUUCCCAGUUGAUAUAGCGUUGAAGCAGAAUAGGUUGAUGCUUCUUGGGGAGAAUCACGGAAUUAUAAAAAUCCACGUGAUGAAGCGUCCAAAAGCGGUUUCCAUCAAUCCUGGCAUCACGAAUGUGCAAUGCAGGAUUCUGGAAACGGAGAUCCUGAAGGAGAGCAGAACCUCCACUAGCAGUGAAAUCAGUUACUGGCUCAUUGCCAGCACGCCGAGCCUCUGCCCGGUGGAGGACCAACCCACGAAUCACAGGGGCGUGGGCCGGGGGAAGAUCAAUUUCAUCAUCCUUCCCGCCUUCAUCAUCACUCGUAGCCUCCCACGCCUGCGGAUUCGUCGCGGGUCGGGACCGACCGGAAGGAUUCCGGGUUGUCCGACCGCGAGCACUUUGAGACCCGGAGGCCUCAGCACCUUGCAUGACAUUUCCGCUUCCUCGCCCACGCUUGGAAUGAGAGCGUGGGGGAGUAUCUCCAUGUAUUUCUUGGUCAUCAGAGGAGUCGGAUUCAACCACGGACGGGUUCCUCCGACGCACCAUUCUAAGAAAAAAUAGAACUUAUGAUGAGCAAGGAUCAAACACGUUUGAGUAGAGACGCAUAAGAUAUUGAGCAUGCACUUCAACCAUUCAUAUGAGCGGUUCAACUACAACGAACAAUAUCAAAUCGCUAAACUCAAACAAUAUUUGUGACAAAUGAAGAUAAUCUAAGUGUUGCAAGCACUUAAACUAAAAUGUACCCAACGAAUGAUACAUUAGAUAAUCAAGAACGCGUAGGAUCGAGUAAAAAGGAAUGAAAUAGGGCAAUACCUCGAUCCGGAGAUUUAGUCAAGAAAUCCCAACGAGAUUGAGGAAGAUGAUGGAGAACGCCGGGAUGAACGGAUCUCCAACAAAUCUUCCAAAGUUGAGAGGGCACAAGUGAGUUUUUGGAGUGGAGAAGGUGUGAAGGAGAGAGAGGAAGAAGAGUGGGCGGCGGCGGCGGCUGGAAAGUGAAACUGAGA